AAUUUUAAGGUCAAGCUACAAAGGGCGCAUGGUGAAUGCCUUGGCACUAGGAGCCGAAGAAGGACGCGAUAAGCUGCGAUAAGCCUUGGGUAGCCGCAAAUAGGCUGAGAUCCAGGGAUUUCCGAAUGAGGAAACUCACAUGGGUAACCCCAUGUAUCAUGCACUGAAUACAUAGGUGUAUGAGGGUAAACCCGGGGAACUGAAACAUCUAAGUACCCGGAGGAAGAGAAAGAAAAAUCGAUUUCCUAAGUAGCGGCGAGCGAACGGGAAAGAGCCCAAACCAGAAACUUGUUUCUGGGGUUGUGGAUAGAUCAUAAAAGAAGAGGUAUCUUAAUCGAAGAGGGCUGGAACGCCCUACCAUAGAAGGUAAUAGUCCUGUAGGUAAAAAGAGAAAACUUCGAGAUCUAAUCCAGAGUACCACGAGACACGUGAAACCUUGUGGGAAGCAGGGAGGACCACCUCCCAAGGCUAAAUACUACCUAGUGACCGAUAGUGAAGCAGUACCGUGAGGGAAAGGUGAAAAGAACCCCGGAAGGGGAGUGAAAUAGAACCUGAAACCGUGUGCCUACAACCGAUCGGAGCACGUUAAAGUGUGACGAUGUGCUUUUUGUAGAACGAGCCAGCGAGUUACGCUAUGUAGCAAGGUUAAGUACUUAAGGUAUGGAGCCGAAGGGAAACCGAGUCUGAAAAGGGCGAAAAGUUGCAUGGUGUAGACCCGAAACCGGGUGACCUAUCCAUGGCCAGGUUGAAGCGAGAGUAAAAUCUCGUGGAGGACCGAACCACGUUGGUGUUGAAAAACCAUGGGAUGAGCUGUGGAUAGCGGAGAAAUUCCAAUCGAACUCGGAGAUAGCUGGUUCUCCUCGAAAUAGCUUUAGGGCUAGCGUCGUGUAAUUGAGUAAUGGAGGUAGAGCACUGAAUGGGCUAGGGGCUAUAGUAGUUACCGAACCCUAUCAAACUCCGAAUGCCAUAUACUUGUAUCACGGCAGUCAGACUGCGAAUGAUAAGAUCCGUAGUCAAAAGGGAAACAGCCCAGACCAUCAGCUAAGGUCCCAAAGUGUAAGUUAAGUGGAAAAGGAUGUGGGAUUUCUAAGACAACUAGGAUGUUGGCUUAGAAGCAGCCACUCAUUUAAAGAGUGCGUAAUAGCUCACUAGUCAAGAGAUCCUGCGCCGAAGAUGUCCGGGGCUCAAACUUACCACCGAAGCUAUGGGUGUACACUAUGUGUACGCGGUAGAGGAGCUUUCUGUAUGGGUUGAAGUCGUACCGUAAGGAGCGGUGGACUGUACAGAAGUGAGAAUGCUGGCAUAAGUAGCGAGAAAUAAGUGAGAAUCUUAUUGGCCGAAAACCUAAGGUUUCCUGGGGAAGGUUCGUCCGCCCAGGGUUAGUCGGGACCUAAGCCGAGGCCGAAAGGCGUAGGUGAUGGACAAUCGGUUGAUAUUCCGAUACCGCCUAUUUACGUUUGAGAAAUGGGGUGACGCAGUAGGAUAAGAUGUGCGCACUAUUGGAUGUGCGUCUAAGCAUUUAGGCAUGCUUGAUAGGUAAAUCCGUCGAGCUAAGCUGAGGUGUGAUGGGGAGCCAUUUAUGGCGAAGUAUCUGAUUCCACACUGCCAAGAAAAGCCUCUAUCGAGUGAAUAGGUGCCCGUACCGCAAACCGACACAGGUAGGUGAGGAGAGAAUCCUAAGGCCAUCGGAAGAAUUGCUGUUAAGGAACUCGGCAAAUUGACCCCGUAACUUCGGGAGAAGGGGUGCCUACGAAAGUAGGCCGCAGAGAAUAGGCCCAAGCAACUGUUUAGCAAAAACACAGGUCUCUGCUAAAGCGAAAGCUGAUGUAUAGGGGCUGACGCCUGCCCGGUGCUGGAAGGUUAAGGGGAACACUUAGCGUAAGCGAAGGUGUGAACUUAAGCCCCAGUAAACGGCGGCCGUAACUAUAACGGUCCUAAGGUAGCGAAAUUCCUUGUCGGGUAAGUUCCGACCCGCACGAAUGGCGUAAUGAUUUGGGCACUGUCUCAACAGCAAAUCCGGCGAAAUUGUAGUGCAAGUGAAGAUGCUUGCUACCCGCGAUUGGACGGAAAGACCCCGUAGAGCUUUACUGUAGCUUAGCAUUGAAUCUCGGUAUUGUCUGUACAGGAUAGGUGGGAGACUUGGAAGCUUGGGCGUCAGCCUGAGUGGAGUCAUCCUUGGGAUACCACCCUGACAGUACUGGGGUUCUAACCGGCGGCCAUGAAUCUGGUCACGGGACAUUGUUAGGUGGGCAGUUUGACUGGGGCGGUCGCCUCCUAAAAAGUAACGGAGGCGCCCAAAAGUUCCCUCAGCGC
rnacentral:rRNA from 1 species